UACGGAGGGUGCGAGCGUUAAUCGGAAUUACUGGGCGUAAAGCGCGCGUAGGCGGUCCGCUAAGUCCUUUGUGAAAGCCCUGGGCUUAACCUGGGAACUGCAGGGGAUACUGGCGGGCUAGAGUGUGGUAGAGGGUAGCGGAAUUUCCGGUGUAGCAGUGAAAUGCGUAGAGAUCGGAAGGAACACCAGUGGCGAAGGCGGCUAUCUGGACCAACACUGACGCUGAGGUGCGAAAGCGUGGGGAGCAAAC
rnacentral:rRNA from 1 species